GUUGCCGCCGAGGCCCCAGUCACAGCCGAGCGCAAGCAGAAUCUUCACCUCCAAGAGCAGCUCGCCAAGCCAUAUGUGGCACGGGCGCUGGCGGCGGUGGAUCCGGCGCAUCCUAAUGGGACGGAGGGACACGAGCACCAUAACAUGAGUGUGCUGCAGCAGCAUGCGGCAUUCUUCGACAGGAACAAUGACGGGGUGGUUUAUCCGUGGGAGACUUAUCAAGGGUUUCGAGCCGUGGGAUUCGGUGUUCUCACUUCGAUCUUGGGGGGUUUCUUAAUUAAUCUUGGGCUCAGUUAUCGAUCACAGCCGAGUUGGAUACCUUCUCCUGUCCUCUCAAUUCACAUCAAGAAUAUACAUAGAUGCAAGCAUGGAAGCGACACUGAAAGCUACGACACAGAAGGAAGGUUUGAGCCAUCAAAAUUUGAUGCAAUCUUCAGCAAAUACGCUUUAACGCAGCCUGAUGCAUUGACAUCGGAGGAGAUCUCCACAAUGCUACAAGUCAAUCG
rnacentral:misc_RNA from 1 species